GAAUCAACUAGCCCUGAAAAUGGAUGGCGCUGGAGCGUCGGGCCUACACCCGGCCGUCACCGGCAAUGAGAGCCGCGGGGGCUACGCCGCGACGAGUAGGAGGGCCGCUGCGGUGCGCCUUGCAGCCUAGGGCGCGGGCCCGGGUGGAGCCGCCGCAGGUGCAGAUCUUGGUGGUAGUGGCAAAA